AUCAGUUCGACAGUAUGGGGUGGUAUGGGAACCCGACGUACGCAUGGUUAUCUCUACUUGUUUACUGAAAAGGAAAAUACUUCACGGAAUUCCUGAGCUCAUUAGCUGAACAUGAUUUCAGUGAUCACAAUUUUAUUAUGCUUUACAACCAACUUCAGAUCAACAGAAUUCAACAUUCAGAAGAUUCAACAGUAUCCACUCAAAGUACAAUAAUAAUAAUUAGUGCCAAUUUGACAAC